rnacentral:rRNA from 1 species
UACGUAGGUGGCAAGCGUUGUCCGGAUUUACUGGGCGUAAAGGGAGCGUAGGUGGAUAUUUAAGUGGGAUGUGAAAUACUCGGGCUUAACCUGGGUGCUGCAUUCCAAACUGAAUAUCUAGAGUGCAGGAGAGGAAAGUAGAAUUCCUAGUGUAGCGGUGAAAUGCGUAGAGAUUAGGAAGAAUACCAGUGGCGAAGGCGACUUUCGGGACUGUAACUGACACUGAGGCUCGAAAGCGUGGGGAGCAAACAGG